rnacentral:rRNA from 1 species
UACAGGGGGUGCAAACGUUAAUCGGAAUUACUGGGCGUAAAGCGUGCGCAGGCGGUUUUGUAAGUCUGUCGUGAAAUCCCCGGGCUCAACCUGGGAAUUGCGAUGGAGACUGCAAGGCUAGAAUCUGGCAGAGGGGGGUAGAAUUCCACGUGUAGCAGUGAAAUGCGUAGAGAUGUGGAGGAACACCGAUGGCGAAGGCAGCCCCCUGGGUCAAGAUUGACGCUCAUGCACGAAAGCGUGGGGAGCAAACAGG